UACGGAGGGUGCGAGCGUUGUCCGGAAUCAUUGGGCGUAAAGGGCGCGUAGGCGGGCGAUCAAGUCGGUGGUGAAAUCCUACAGCUUAACUGUAGAACUGCCUCCGAUACUGGUUGUCUCGAGGAAGGUAGGGGCGUGCGGAACAGUUGGUGGAGCGGUGAAAUGCGUUGAUAUCAACUGGAACUCCGAUGGCGAAGGCGGCACGCUGGACCUUUUCUGACGCUGAGGCGCGAAAGCCAGGGGAGCAAACGGG
rnacentral:rRNA from 1 species